ensembl:snRNA Gm25204 predicted gene, 25204
GUGCUGGCUUCGCCAGCACAUAUAAUAAAAUUGGAACAAUACAGAGAAGAUUAGCACGGCCCUGUGCAAGGAUGACAUGCAAAUUCAUGAAGCAUCCCAUAUUUUU